GGCCUUCGCUGGGGGUGUUGAACGCGGUCCAUCGCGCUCGACUGAGAGAGUCCCUUUGAACCUGAUUGAGGUAAUCCUCGCGCAGGGAAGCGUCUGCCGAGGGGC
rnacentral:ncRNA from 2 species